UCUGCCGCCACGGCUGCCGCCUCCGGUAGCUUUCACCGUUGUCGCAUCAACAACCUUCACCGUCAAGUUAUGACCAUGUGUCCCAGGUUUUAAGCUGUCCACUUUCACAAACACCGGCUUUUUCUUCUCGGUUGUCGCCGCCGUACUGGUUGCCGCUGCCGCCGUCGUAGCCAUCGCAAAUAUCUUAAACCCUAACCUUUUCCAAAAUUCAUAAAUGCAGAUAUAUAUACCCUGCUCAUUACGUGCGGUGAAGAGGAUGGAUCCAGUAUCAUCACCAACGAGGCACUCAGAGAUUCGCGGUGGAGCCCUAGGGUUUAGCGACCCCGACGCUCUGCCGCCACGGCUGCCGCCUCCGGUAGCUUUCACCGUUGUCGCAUCAACAACCUUCACCGUCAAGUUAUGACCAUGUGUCCCAGGUUUUAAGCUGUCCACUUUCACAAACACCGGCUUUUUCUUCUCGGUUGUCGCCGCCGUACUGGUUGCCGCUGCCGCCGUCGUAGCCAUCGCAAAUAUCUUAAACCCUAACCUUUUCAGAAAAAAAUUGGAAAUGAGAAGAAAAGAGUAAGGGAGAGAGUGACGAAUAAAACAAACAAAUUAGGGUUUUGAAGGGGUCCUCUAUUUAUAUUCGACAUUCAGAAAAUGAAUUACAAAAUAAAGAAAAACAACAGAAAUGUAUAAUAAUUUUAAUAAAUAGAAAU
rnacentral:lncRNA from 1 species